rnacentral:lncRNA from 1 species
UAGUUGACUGGAGUUCAGACGUGCGUUGUUCACCGACGCCUAAUGGUCUAGAAAAAACGAAGCCUCAGGUUUUUGGCAAUAACUCAAAAAGUAAAAGCGCUAGCGAAAAUUUUAGAAAGAUUCUUAAAGAGGAGGAAAUUUCCAAUAAAAAAGUAGAAGCACCUGGAAUUCUAUCUUCAGUAUUAGUAAUUUUAAUUUAACGCUGAACACAGGGCUCUGCGCAACUGUUACGG